rnacentral:rRNA from 1 species
GCUGGCGGUAUGCUUAAGACAUGCAAGUCGUGCGGUAGAAGGCUUCGGCCUUUGAGAGCGGCGGACGGGUGAGUAACACGUGGGAAUCUGCCUAUUAGUGGGGGACAGCCCAGCGAAAGCUGGAUUAAUACCGCAUACGCCCUACGGGGGAAAGCAGCAAUGCGCUAAUAGAUGAGCCCGCGUAAGAUUAGCUAGUUGGUAAGGUAAAGGCUUACCAAGGCGACGAUCUUUAGCUGGUCUGAGAGGAUGGCCAGCCACAUCGGGACUGAGACACGGCCCGGACUCCUACGGGAGGCAGCAGUCGGGAAUAUUGGACAAUGGGCGCAAGCCUGAUCCAGCAAUACCGCGUGUGUGAAGAAGGCCUGCGGGUUGUAAAGCACUUUCAGUUGGGAAGAUAAUGACGUUACCAACAGAAGAAGCACCGGCUAACUCCGUGCCAGCAGCCGCGGUAAUACGGAGGGUGCAAGCGUUAAUCGGAAUUACUGGGCGUAAAGCGUGCGUAGGCGGCCUGUUAAGUCAGAUGUGAAAGCCCCGGGCUUAACCUGGGAACUGCAUCUGAUACUGGGAGGCUAGAAUGUGGGAGAGGAGAGUGGAAUUUCCGGUGUAGCGGUGAAAUGCAUAGAGAUCGGAAGGAACACCAGUGGCGAAGGCGGCUCUCUGGACCAACAUUGACGCUGAGGCACGAAAGCGUGGGUAGCAAACAGGAUUAGAUACCCUGGUUAGUCCACGCC